UACGUAGGCAGCAAGCGUUGUUCGGAAUUACUGGGCGUAAAGCGCGUUCAGGCGGUUUGGCAAGUCGGGCAUGAAAUCUCUCGGCUCAACCGGGAGAGGUUGUCCGAUACUGCUGGACUUGAGGGCAGUAGAGGGUGGUGGAAUUCCGGGUGUAGUGGUGAAAUGCGUAGAUAUCCGGAGGAACACCAGUGGCGAAAGCGGCCACCUGGACUGCACCUGACGCUGACACGCGAAAGCUAGGGGAGCGAACGGG
rnacentral:rRNA from 1 species